AUUGCUUCUCAGCCUUCUCACUAAGAUCAAGUGUAGUUUCUGUUUUUAUCAGUUUAAUAUAUGAUAAUUUCCUCUAUCUGAGGAUAACAUAUUAAAUGGAUUUUUGACCCUGUGAGAUGGAAUAGGUACUUGCUCUGUCCACUCCAUACAUUGACCCAGUAUUGCAGUCCUUCUAGGAAUGAUGCAAAAACC
ensembl:snRNA U2 U2 spliceosomal RNA